rnacentral:misc_RNA from 1 species
CAGAACUGGAAUUUCAAUGUUCAGGUCUUCAGGCAGUGGUCUUUCUAAGGCUGCUUUUUCCAAAAGAUCCUUUUCACACUCAUAAUAGACCUCAUUUAACAGCUGGUCAUUUUGAAGCGAUUGGAAGUCUGCAACUUUUAGUCCUUCUGGAGAGAUGACUUCUUCAGCACAAGAUAUCAUUGAAAUGGCUGCCAUCACAGGAUCAAGACAAAUGAAAGUUUCUUCAAUAAAUG